UACGAAGGGUGCUAGCGUUGUUCGGAAUCACUGGGCGUAAAGCGCGCGUAGGCGGCUUUGCAAGUCAGGGGUGAAAUCCCAGAGCUUAACUCUGGAACUGCCUUUGAAACUGCAAAGCUAGAGUGUCGGAGGGGAUGGCGGAAUUGCUAAUGUAGAGGUGAAAUUCGUAGAUAUUAGCAGGAACACCGGUGGCGAAGGCGGCCAUCUGGACGACAACUGACGCUGAGGCGCGAAAGCGUGGGGAUCAAACAGG
rnacentral:rRNA from 1 species